GCUGGGUGUGGUGGCACAUGCCUGUAAUUCCAGUGGCUCGGGAGGCUGAGGCAGGAGGAUCAUGAGUUCAAAGCCAGCCUCAGCAAAAGCAAGUCCCUAAGCAACUCAGUGAGACCCUGUCUCUA
rnacentral:sRNA from 1 species